GGGCAGUUUAGAGUGACUGCCGGUGACAAGCCGGAGGGAGGGGGGGAGGAGGUCAAAUCAUCAUGCCCCUUUUGACUUGGGCUACACACGUACUACAAUGGGUGGUACGGCGGGAAGAGAAGCCGCGAGGGGGAGCCAAUCCUAAAAAGCCAGUAUCAGUUCGGAUUGCAGGCUGCAACUCGCCUGCAUGAAGUCGGAAUUGCUAGUAAUCGCGGAUCAGCAUGCCGCGGAGAAUACGUUCCCGGGUCUUGUACACACCGCCCGUCACACC
rnacentral:rRNA from 1 species